ACGUAGGUGGCGAGCGUUAUCCGGAUUUAUUGGGUUUAAAGGGAGCGUAGGCCGGAGAUUAAGCGUGUUGUGAAAUGUAGACGCUCAACGUCUGCACUGCAGCGCGAACUGGUUUCCUUGAGUACGCACAAAGUGGGCGGAAUUCGUGGUGUAGCGGUGAAAUGCUUAGAUAUCACGAAGAACUCCGAUUGCGAAGGCAGCUCACUGGAGCGCAACUGACGCUGAAGCUCGAAAGUGCGGGUAUCGAACAGGAUUAGAUACCCUGGUAGUCCGCACGGUAAACGAUGGAUGCCCGCUGUUGGUCUGAAUAGGUCAGCGGCCAAGCGAAAGCAUUAAGCAUCCCACCUGGGGAGUACGCCGGCAACGGUG
rnacentral:rRNA from 1 species